AUUGAACGCUGGCGGCAGGCUUAACACAUGCAAGUCGAGCGGAGAGAGGUAGCUUGCUACUGAUCUUAGCGGCGGACGGGUGAGUAAUGCUUAGGAAUCUGCCUAUUAGUGGGGGACAACAUUUCGAAAGGAAUGCUAAUACCGCAUACGCCCUACGGGAGAAAGCAGGGGAUCUUCGGACCUUGCGCUAAUAGAUGAGCCUAAGUCGGAUUAGCUAGUUGGUGGGGUAAAGGCCUACCAAGGCGACGAUCUGUAGCGGGUCUGAGAGGAUGAUCCGCCACACUGGGACUGAGACACGGCCCAGACUCCUACGGGAGGCAGCAGUGGGGAAUAUUGAACAAUGGGCGGAAGCCUGAUCUAGCCAUGCCGCGUGUGUGAAGGAGGCCUUAUGGUUGUAAAGCACUUUAAGCGAGGAGGAGGCUACUUUAGUUAAUACCUAGAGAUAGUGGACGUUACUCGCAGAAUAAGCACCGGCUAACUCUGUGCCAGCCGCCGCCGUAA
rnacentral:rRNA from 1 species